UUUUUGUUUUAUCUUCAUUCCUUUUUAACUAGUUUUUGUGUUUGAAAUGUGUUAUAAUUGUUAAAUUUUGUAAAAUGAAGCUGUUUAUGAUUGUGUUUUGCAAUUCUACUAGCUUUGAUUGUGUUUGUAGUUUGUUAGUUUGAAAGGUUUGAUUGUAUUUCUAGUGUUAGUGUGAGAACAUAAUCUUUGGUUCACUUGAAAUGAAGACAAGAAUUGUCCAGCCAUUUUCUGUUAAUGGUACUUAUUCACAAUGACCUCUCUAUCUCUCUGAUUACUGAACAAUAUAUUUUCCCUUGUUUUCUUUGACAAUUCGAGGGCCUUUUGCAAAAAAAAAAAAAAAGAUAA